GAUGAAGAACGUAGCGAAAUGCGAUAAGUAAUGCGAAUUGCAGAAUUCCAGUGAGUCAUCGAAUCUUUGAACGCACAUUGCGCCCCCUGGUAUUCCGGGGGGCAUGCCUGUCCGAGCGUCAUUGCUGCCCUCAAGCACGGCUUGUGUGUUGGGCCUCCGUCCUCCUCCCGGGGGACGGGCCCGAAAGGUAGCGGCGGCACCGCGUCCGGUCCUCGAGCGUAUGGGGCUUCGUCACCCGCUCUUGUAGGCCCGGCCGGCGCUUGCCGACACAUCAAUCUUUUUUCCAGGUUGACCUCGGAUCAGGUAGGGAUACCCGCUGAACUUAAGCAUAUCAAUAAGCGGAGGA
rnacentral:misc_RNA from 1 species